GACAUUUGGUGUGUCUAUAGCAACAAGUGAAGAACAGUAAAACAUGGCUUUCUAUUCAACUUUCGUCGCCGUGGUCCUGAUGGCCGUCAUCGCCGUAGCCAGUGCCGCUGAUGUGGCUAAUGUCAACACGGACAAGGUGAAAGAAAUUCUUAGUUCCUAGGAAUCACGACCCAAGGCGAAGCCCGACCGAACCAACGAAUUGACAACGGAAAAAUGACUACGGCGAAUAUGAUUUAAUAAAUUAGCACCACAGCGCACAGUUUACAGCACAAAACGCAAAUGCGAAUCCCUUUUGCUCA